rnacentral:rRNA from 1 species
CCUACGGGAGGCUGCAGUGAGGAAUAUUGGUCAAUGGUCGGGAGCCUGAACCAGCCAAGCCGCGUGAGGGAUGAAGGUACAGAGUAUCGUAAACCUCUUUUGUCAGGGAACAAAGGCGGGGACGUGUCCUCGGUUGAGUGUACCUGAAGAAAAAGCAUCGGCUAACUCCGUACCAGCAGCCGCGGUAAUACGGAGGUUGCGAGCGUUAUCCGGAUUUAAUGGGGGUAAAGGGUGCGCAGGGGGGCCGUGAAGUCCGCGGUCAAAGCCCGGGGCUCAAACCCGGCCCCGCCGUUGAACCUGGCAGUCUCGAGUGGGAGAGAAGUAUGCGGAAUGCGCGGUGUAGCGGUGAAAUGCAUAGAUAUCGCGCAGAACGCCGAUGGCGAAGGCAGCAGGCCGGCUCCACACUGACGCUGAGGCACGAAAGCGUGGGUAUCGAACAGGAUUAGAUACCCCGGUAGUC